UAUCGGGCCGGGCUUAGUAGUCAUACGCUCGUCUCAAGAUUAAGCCAUGCAUGUGUAAGUGUAAAUAUCAAAGUUUGGAACUGCGAAUGGCUCAUUAUAUCAGUUAUAGUUUAUUUGGUGAAGUGUACUACUUGGAUAACCGUAGUAAUUCUAGGGCUAAUACAUGAGAAAGUCCUCUGGUGAGGUGUGUUUAUUAGAAUGAAAACCAUAUGCUUCGGCAUGAUAGUGAGUAAUAGUAACCUAUCGUAUCGCAUGCUUAAUGUAGCGAUGAGUCUUUCAAGUUUCUGCCCUAUCAGCUUUCGAUGGUAGUAUAUGGGCCUACCAUGGCAGUAACGGGUAACGAAGAA
rnacentral:rRNA from 1 species